rnacentral:rRNA from 1 species
UACGGAGGGGGCUAGCGUUGUUCGGAAUUACUGGGCGUAAAGCGCACGUAGGCGGCUUUGUAAGUUAGAGGUGAAAGCCCGGAGCUCAACUCCGGAAUUGCCUUUAAGACUGCAUCGCUCGAAUCAUGGAGAGGUGAGUGUAAUUCCGAGUGUAGAGGUGAAAUUCGUAGAUAUUGGGAGGAACACCAGUGGCGAAGGCGGCUCACUGGACCAACACUGACGCUGAGGAGCGAAAGCCAGGGGAGCAAACGGG